UACGGAGGGGGCUAGCGUUGUUCGGAAUUACUGGGCGUAAAGCGCACGUAGGCGGCUUUGUAAGUUAGAGGUGAAAGCCUGGAGCUCAACUCCAGAAUUGCCUUUGAUACUGCAUGGCUUGAAUCCAGGAGAGGUGAGUGGAAUUCCGAGUGUAGAGGUGAAAUUCGUAGAUAUUCGGAAGAACACCAGUGGCGAAGGCGGCUCACUGGACUGGUAUUGACGCUGAGGUGCGAAAGCGUGGGGAGCAAACA
rnacentral:rRNA from 1 species